UGGGGAAUUUUGGACAAUGGGCGAAAGCCUGAUCCAGCAAUGCCGCGUGUGUGAAGAAGGCCUUCGGGUUGUAAAGCACUUUUGUCCGGAAAGAAAUCCUUGGCUCUAAUACAGUCGGGGGAUGACGGUACCGGAAGAAUAAGCACCGGCUAACUACGUGCCAGCAGCCGCGGUAAUACGUAGGGUGCAAGCGUUAAUCGGAAUUACUGGGCGUAAAGCGUGCGCAGGCGGUUUGCUAAGACCGAUGUGAAAUCCCCGGGCUCAACCUGGGAACUGCAUUGGUGACUGGCAGGCUAGAGUAUGGCAGAGGGGGGUAGAAUUCCACGUGUAGCAGUGAAAUGCGUAGAGAUGUGGAGGAAUACCGAUGGCGAAGGCAGCCCCCUGGGCCAAUACUGACGCUCAUGCACGAAAGCGUGGGGAGCAAACAGGAUUAGAUACCCUGGUAGUCCACGCCCUAAACGAUGUCAACUAGUUGUUGGGGAUUCAUUCCUUAGUAACGUAGCUAACGCGUGAAGUUGACCGCCUGGGGAGUACGGUCGCAAGAUUAAAACUCAAGUGAAUUGACGGGGUCAUAGCUGUUUCCU
rnacentral:rRNA from 1 species